rnacentral:lncRNA from 1 species
UUAAAAUAUAUGUGUGUCAGUGUGUGUGUCUCUCUCUCUUUCUCUCUCUCUCUCUGUGUAUGUAUUUUAGCUGUUGAUGGAUCUUUAUUUUUGAUUUAUUUGUAUGUGGUGCUGAGAAUUGAACCCAAGACUUCACACAUGCUAGGCAAGCGUCUACCACUGAGCCACAACCCCAGCCCCAGAUACCUACUUUUCUGUAGAAAAGAAUAGGGUAUGGUCUUGUCUAAAAUGAAAUUAUUACAAGAAAAAAAGAAUAAGAAGCAGAAUACUGCCACGGAGAACCAAAGCCUGAAAGAAGCCUGCAAAAGAGAUGAAAACUGUCACAAAUAUUGUAACAUGAGCCCAAAUAAAUUGAGAAUGUGAUAGAAGAGAUGACAGGAUAAUUAAUCAGAAUUAGAAAACCUCAGAUGAGAAAACAGCUCAAGAAAGAAUUUAGAAAUAAAAGAAAAACAUUCUUAAAAGACCAAACUAGAAGGAAAAAAGUAAACCAAAAGAGAGACUUCCUUAAGAUAAAUAGAAAGGGAAAGGGAGAAUUCUAAAAGACUUCAAGAAAACAGAUUUAAAAAGUAGGCAAAUAAGUCCUAGUGUCACAGGACUCCCUAUAAGAACACAAAAUCAAUAGAUUAAAUAUGAAAAUUGAUACUUCCUGAACAUUUUCUCAAAAUGAAAAGACAGGACUGAUAUGUUCAAAGGACAUCUGUAAACCUGACCCAGGACAACUAAAAUGUCCUUGUGGGGAGGGCAGGAAAGGGAGAGAGACAGACAGAGAGGAAGGCAAAUUAGCAAACCCAAGGACAUCUGGCAAAGGGAGCAAGUGAGACAUAAACAAGAUCAGACUGCCUUAAGAGAAAUAGAAAGGGAAAGUUUGUUUUAAAUACCAAAAAAAUGUUUUUCUUAAGUUCCUAGCAGAGAGAAAAUGAGCUUGGGAUUUUACUUUAGUCUUCAGAUGGAGUUGACUCAAGAAUUCCAGUACUAUUGCUCUUGCAAGCCCCUCCUCUGGACAUCAGAGGACAUGAGCAAAGGAUGGUAGCAAACGCUGCACUAAGGACUGCGGGGCACCUGGAAUGCUCCACUUCAUUAGGGCAGGUGUCCCCGGCCAUCCUGCUUCCUUCCUCUGCCUUAGUCUCAUCUUUGCAGUGUCAGUGCCUGAAACAUCUGUCCCUCAGUCCUCUCCUUGCUCCUGGAAUGGAAAUGUCCUGCCCUCUGAGAGUGGAGUGCUGUCAAUCACUGCUGCAUUCCCACAGCCUAGCAAUGCUAAGUGUGCUUCUAGGGAUUCAAUAAAAACUUGCUAAGUAUUAAUGAAUAAAUACAUAACAUCAACUGGAAAGCCACUUGAAAUAUUAAGAGUGACUGUACCUGUAAUCCCAGCUACUUGGGAUGCUGUGGCAGGAGGAUCACAAGUUCAAAGUCAGCCUCAGCAAAACUGAAGUGCUAAGCAACUGUCUCUAAAUGAAAGAAGCCUGCAAAAGAGAUGAAAACUGUCACUGGGGAUGUGGCUCAGUGGUCGAGGGCUCCCGAGUUCAAUCCCUGGUAUUCCCACCCCCGGCAAAAUCAGAAAAUAUGGAGAAAGAAAAACUAUGAAGAGGAAAAGAAGUUUCAGUUGAUGAUAACAAACUAUAAAGUAUCUAGGAAUAAACAAAAAGAAUUUGUGAAAUAUAUAUUAAAAAAAUAGCAAAGCCAAAAAUAGACGAAUGGAUUACACCAAGCCGAGAAGUUUAUGCACAGCAGAGGAAACAAUGAGCAAAGCAAAGCUACAAACUAUGGAUUGGGAGAAAAUAUUUGCAAGCAGGACAUCUCAGAACUGGGUAACACCCAGAAUAUAUCUGAGGAACUCAAGAGUAAGAAAAUACUGUGACUUAAAGAUGGGCAAAGUACUAGAAUAGACAUUUCUCCAACGAUGACAUGCAAAUGACCAACAUGAAAAAAAAUGUUCAACAUCACUAAUCAUGCGAACUAAACUACAAUAAGAUAUCACCUCACAUCUGUCAGACUGACUGGCUAUUACCAAAAAGAUGAAAGUAAGUGUUGGUGAGGAUGUGGAGGAAAAGGGGGGCCUCUGUACACUGUUGGUGGGAAUGUCUAGUCAUUGCAGAAGACUGUAUAGAGGUUCCUCAAAAAGCUGAAAGUAGGGGUUGGGGUGUAACUCAGUGGUAGAGCGCUUGCCUAGCUUCUGUGAGGCACUGGGUUUGAUUCUCAGCACCACAUAAAUAAGAUAAAAUAAAGGUAUUGUGGCCAUCUACAACUAAAAAAAAAAUAAAACUAAAAGAAUUAACAUUGUGUUAGCUUUUGAUCACUUGACAAAAUACCUGAGAAUAACAACAAAAGGAAAGAUUUGCUUCGGCUCAUGGUUUCAGAGGCUCUGGUCCGUGGGUGGCUGGCUCCAUUGCUUAAGCUUGAGGUGAGGCAGAACAUCAUGGCAGAAAGGCUUGGUGCAGGAAUUCUGGCUACUUCAUGACAGCUGGGAAGAAGAAGGGGUGGGGGACAAAGAUAUAGUCCCUAAGGACCCACUCCCUCCAACCAGGCCCCACCUCCUACAAUUUCCACUAAUUCCCAUUUGUCCACUCAGUUAGAAAUCCUUCAAUGGAUUAACCCAUUGAUGAGCCACCUUUGAACAUUGCCCACUGGGGACUGAACCUUCAACACAUUGAGCCUUUGGGAGACAUUCCAGAUUCAAACCAUAACAAUACCACCUUGAGCUAUAUAGAUAAAGGAUUUGAAAUGAUGAUGUUGGAAGAGACAUGCACUUCCAUGUCCAUCACAGCACUGUUCACAAAAGUCAAGAUAUGGAAUCAACCUACAUGUCCAUCAAUGGAUGAGUAGAUAAGUAAAAAAAGAUAUACACAUGGAAUACUAUUCAGCCUUAAAAAUAAAUUCUGUCAUUGGUGACAAUAUGGAUGAACCUGGAGGAUGUUGUGCUAAAUGAAAUAGGCAAGGCACAGAAAGCCAAAUGGUGAAUGAUCUCACAACCUAGGACAACUGAACUCAGAAGCUGAGAGUAGAAUGGUGAUUAUCAAGGAUUGGGAGUAGUGACUAUAGUUAAUAAUAUAUUUCAAAAUUUCUGUGAGUAAACUUCAAAUGUUCUUACCAUGAAUGUGUAUGUUUGAGGUGAUAGGUAUGUUAAUUAGUUUGAUUAAGCAUUCUACAUUGUAUAUUUAUAUCUCAUAAGUAUAUAUAUUAAAAUUUGUCAAUUUACAAUUUUAGUACCCCAAAGUACUGAACUUUACAGACCUUAUAAAAAUCUUGAAUAAAUGGAAACAUUACCUACCUGGUAAGACUUGGUAUUGUUUUUUUUUUAUUUUUUUUUUAAUUUUUUAAAUUUAUUUUUAGUUAAAGGCGGACAUAACAUCUUUGUUUGUAUGUGGUGCUGAGGAUCGAACCCGGGCCGCACACAUGCCAGGCGAGCGCGCUACCGCUUGAGCCACAUCCCCAGCCCCAGACUUGGUAUUGUAGCAAUGUAGAUUCUCC